ensembl:lncRNA
GCUCCCCAGCAGAGCUGACCCUGGCUCUAGGGCUCUGAGGCCUCAGAAGCUCCCGCGGUCAGGUUUAGCCCCCAGAUUUCUGGGAUCUCACCUCAUCCUCUCCCCAGUUUAAUCCGUGGGUGUUCCAAAGUCUCUCCUUCCCAGGGGAACUGAGCCCUCCCAGCACCUACUCCCACCAUCCCCCUCCUUUACCACCAAACUGGUGGAGUGCUGACCAGGCCAGGCGGGGCUAUGGACUGGAGCUCUGAGCCCACCUUCACAGAGCCCUCAAGGUGCUGGCUCCGACUCUCCCUUCACAGAUCUCGCUCCCUAUAGGAGGCAGCUGUGGUUUAAACAGCGUCCUCUUCCCCAUCCCCCAACCCCCUAGAAGAACCAUCUCAAGCAUUGGUCCAGCUCUCUCCCAAGGAGCCGCGGCAGGGAGCCUCAGAGCUGAGCAGAAGAGUCCAGGAGGGGGAGAAGCCGGUAGUGAACUUGGAGACCACACCCAAGCAGAAAAGAGCAGAGUCCAAUUCAACCCCGAAGCCUGAGAGCGCUGGGAAGUUAACACAGCAAGCCGCUGAGGUGAGUAUCCCAGGAGCUCUUAGCGCGCCUCUUUAGGAGCCUGCGACUUCU